CAGGAACGCUGGCGGCAGGCUUAACACAUGCAAGUCGAGCGCCCCGCAAGGGGAGCGGCAGACGGGUGAGUAACGCGUGGGAAUCUACCCAUCUCUACGGAAUAACGCAUGGAAACGUGUGCUAAUACCGUAUACGUCCUUCGGGAGAAAGAUUUAUCGGAGAUGGAUGAGCCCGCGUCGGAUUAGCUAGUUGGUGGGGUAAAGGCCUACCAAGGCGACGAUCCAUAGCUGGUCUGAGAGGAUGAUCAGCCACACUGGGACUGAGACACGGCCCAGACUCCUACGGGAGGCAGCAGUGGGGAAUAUUGGACAAUGGGCGCAAGCCUGAUCCAGCCAUGCCGCGUGAGUGAUGAAGGCCCUAGGGUUGUAAAGCUCUUUCACCGGUGAAGAUAAUGACGGUAACCGGAGAAGAAGCCCCGGCUAACUUCGUGCCAGCCGCCGCCGUAACAC
rnacentral:rRNA from 1 species